GAUUGAUGUUAUUUCUUUUUCUGAGGUGGAUAUAAUUACUCCAGCACAGAAGCUGUUGGCUAGGCAGUUGACAUGUGAUGUAGUACCAGGAAAAAGCCUGCUAGUUACUGGUCCAAAUGGGAGUGGAAAAAGUUCUGUUUUCAGAGUACUUAGAGGUCUGUGGCCCAUUGUGAGUGGAAGGCUUUAUAAACCAUCCCACCAUUUUGAUGAAGAUACUGCAUCUGGUGGCAUAUUCUAUGUUCCUCAG